rnacentral:lncRNA from 1 species
AAACUCCUCCCACCCACCCCCGGCGUGGUUUCGCACUUUUUUAUUUUAGUACCCUAUGAUUUAAAGUGUAUCAAGUUAGUACCCUGUGGUUUCUCACUUUAUCACUUUAGUAUCCUGUGAUUUAAAGUGUAUCAAAUUAGUACUCUGUGGUUUUACUUUUGUAUCGAAUUAGCACCUUGUGAUUUUUUUUAUCAAGUUAGCACCCUGUGGUUUUUAAACCACAUGGUACUAAAGUGAUAAAGUGCGAAACCACAGGAUACUAAAGUGAUAAAAUGCGAAACCAUAGGGUACUAACUUGAUACACUUUAAAUCACAUAGUACUAAAGUAAAAAAGUGCAAAACUACAGGGUACUAACUUGAUACACUUUAAACCACAUUGUACCAAAGUAAAAAAAGUGAAACCACAAGGGGGUAUUUGAAGUUUU